CCCUUAGAUGUUCUGGGCCGCACGCGCGCUACACUGAUGCAUUCAACGAGUCUAAAACCUGGUCUGAUAGGGCUGGGUAAUCUUUUGAAAGUGCAUCGUGAUUGGGAUAGAUGAUUGCAAUUCUUCAUCUUCAACGAGGAAUGCCUAGUAAACGCAAGUCAUCAGCUUGCAUUGAUUACGUCCCUGCCCUUUGUACACACCGCCCGUCGCUGCCCGGAACUGAGCCGUUUCGAGAAAGCUGGGGACUGACGGCUUGUGGGUGCGCAAGCGCUUCUUGCCGAUGGAAACCAGUUUAAUCGGUAUGGCUUGAACCGGGCAAAAGUCGUAACA
rnacentral:rRNA from 1 species